rnacentral:misc_RNA from 1 species
GAUGAAGAACGUAGCGAAAUGCGAUAAGUAAUGUGAAUUGCAGAAUUCAGUGAAUCAUCGAAUCUUUGAACGCACAUUGCGCCCGCCAGUAUUCUGGCGGGCAUGCCUGUUCGAGCGUCAUUUCAACCAUCAAGCCCCCGGCUUGUAUUGGGGACCUGCGGCUGCCGCAGGCCCUGAAAACCAGUGGCGGGCUCGCUGUCACACCGGGCGUAGUAGAUUUUAUCUCGCUCAGGGCGUGCUGCGGGUUCCGGCCGUUAAAAAGCCUUUUUUACCCAAGGUUGACCUCGGAUCAGGUAGGAAGACCCGCUGAACUUAAGCAUAUCAAUAAGCGGAGGA